rnacentral:rRNA from 1 species
UGGCAGCAGUGAGGAAUAUUGGACAAUGGUCGAAAGACUGAUCCAGCCAUGCCGCGUGCAGGAUGAAUGCCCUAUGGGUUGUAAACUGCUUUUAUACGGGAAGAACACCACCCACGUGUGGGUGACUGACGGUACCGUAAGAAUAAGGACCGGCUAACUCCGUGCCAGCAGCCGCGGUAAUACGGAGGGUCCAAGCGUUAUCCGGAAUCAUUGGGUUUAAAGGGUCCGUAGGCGGGCUAUUAAGUCAGAGGUGAAAGUUUGCAGCUCAACUGUAAAAUUGCCUUUGAUACUGGUAGUCUUGAGUUAUAGUGAAGUGGUUAGAAUAUGUGGUGUAGCGGUGAAAUGCAUAGAUAUGACUUAGAACACCAAUUGCGAAGGCAGCUAGCUAGGCAUAAAUUGACGCUGAGGCACGAAAGCGUGGGGAGCGAACAGGAUUAGAUACCCUGGUAGUCCACGCCCUAAACGAUGCUUACUCGAUGUUUGUACAUAAGUAUGAGCAUCCAAGGGAAACCGUUAAGUAAGCCACCUGGGGAGUACGUUCGCAAGAAUGAAACUCAAAGGAAUUGACGGA